UCAAACUUGGUCAUUUAGAGGAAGUAAAAGUCGUAACAAGGUCUCCGUUGGUGAACCAGCGGAGGGAUCAUUACCGAGUUUACAACUCCCAAACCCAAUGUGAACAUACCCAUAUCGUUGCCUCGGCGGGAUCGCCCCGGGCUUGCCUCUGUGCCCCGGAACCAGGCCCCCGCCGGAGGACCCCAAACUCUUGUUUUAUUAUGGUCUCUUCUGAGUUUGUUUUCCCCCCUAGUGGGAUCGAAAAUUCAAUCAAAACUUUCAACAACGGAUCUCUUGGCUCUGGCAUCGAUGAAGAACGCAGC
rnacentral:misc_RNA from 1 species